GGAGGAGCGGGAGGAGCGGUCGCUCCGCCGCGUCCCGGGCCCCGCCCUGCCCGCUGGGAUAGCGGGACAAGACUGCGGGGCGGGCCGCGGGGAGGCGCAGGCGGGCCGGCCUUCGUAGGGACCCUGCGGCUCUCCCGGCUGAGCUCUGAACCCGGCGCGCCCUGCCGUGUUCCGUUCGGGAAGGCGUGCAAAGAGGGAACGGGUAGAUCAGCCUGAAAGUUGCGGGGCAGCGCGGCUCCGUGGUGCAGUUCAAAAUGAAGCGGCUCGCCCCGCUGGGCAAGCUCAUGAAGGCGUGCUGCGGGCUCAGGUAGGCACCGACCCCGCGCCCCCCGGGCAAGGGUCCCCUCGCUGCUUCCCUGCCCGGAGCCUGGAACGUGCCUAUCCGGGCGUGCGGGAGAGCGAGGAGUUGGGAUGCUGGCAGCUUCUCGGUGUGCAGUUCUCAUUAGAGAUGGAAGAUGAAGACACGAUCGAUGUGUUCCAGCAGCAGAACAGGUGGAGGGUGCUAAGACACGCUGUCCUUUGGAGAAAGAAGAGUUUCAGGAUCCUCAUCUCACCUGACUCUCUCAUCUGUCCUCGAAUUUGCUAUUUUAAUAGUGAACAAAUGAGCAUUCCAAUCACACGGGGCUCCUCAAAACUUCAGAGGACGUUUACCAAAGUUGCUUGUUGUCUUUGACAUUCUGCAUGCACAAGUCAAAACAGUAUCUGGAGGGAUGGAUCAGCAUUUGAAUUGGGCCAGCUUGAUUUAAGUUCAGAUUAAGUCAUGUGUAUUUUCUCUGCUGUUAUUUUUUUUUAAUUGUUUUUACUAUAUUUUUUUUUUCUUUCUUUAAACCUAUAGCCUGAACAUUCAUCCAUGUGUUGGGACAUGGAGUGUUCAUUCCUGGCUCUGUUCAGUCUUGCGCCUCUGUUUAACUCAAAUUAUGUAAAUCAGUGUAUUUUCAUGCUAGUUUUGAGCAUGGAAGUUUACUUUUAGGAGGCACCCAAGAGGAGGAACAGAGAUACUGGUUUUAAGUUCUUAGCUCGUGUUGCAAACGCAGUCGGUCCCUUGGGUGGCACUGAGCCCUCGGCACGGGCUGGAACACGGGACAAUACUUACAGCAGAGUUCACAUACUGAAGGUUUACAUGUGUUUUGUCAUGUUAUGAUAAAGGUGUCCAAAAUAUACUUUUUUUAUGCAGAAAUGAGA